CCGCCCCCAAAGCGCCGGAAGUGGAGUGUGGAGUCGGGCUGCUCGCUGACCGUGUCUGCGGCUGCGAACCACACCGGUCGGGGGACGCUUCCCGGCAGCGCGGGCGGCCCCGGUCCCCUCGGGCUCCGCGGUCCGGACGGCACCAUGGACGACAAGGAGCUAAUUGAAUAUUUUAAGUCCCAGAUGAAGGAAGAUCCUGACAUGGCCUCAGCAGUAGCCGCCAUCCGGACUUUGCUGGAAUUCUUGAAAAGAGAUAAAGGGGAGACCAUCCAGGGCCUGAGAGCAAACCUCACCAGUGCCAUAGAAACCCUGUGUGGCGUGGACUCCUCUGUGGCCGUGUCCUCAGGCGGGGAGCUCUUCCUACGCUUUAUUAGCCUCACCUCCUUGGAAUACUCGGAUUACUCUAAAUGUAAAAAGAUCAUGAUUGAGCGGGGAGAACUUUUUCUCAGGAGAAUAUCCCUAUCGAGAAGUAAAAUUGCAGAUCUGUGCCAUACUUUCAUCAAAGACGGGGCGCGAAUAUUAACUCACGCCUACUCCAGAGUGGUCCUGAGAGUUUUGGAGGCAGCAGUGGCGGCUAAGAAGCGUUUCAAGGUGUACAUUACAGAGUCACAGCCUGAUUUAUCAGGUAAGAAAAUGGCCAAAGCUCUCUGCCACCUCAACGUCCCUGUCACUGUGGUCCUAGAUGCUGCUGUUGGCUACAUCAUGGAGAAAGCGGAUCUUGUCAUAGUUGGCGCUGAAGGGGUUGUUGAAAACGGGGGCAUCAUUAACAAGAUUGGAACCAACCAGAUGGCCGUGUGCGCCAAAGCACAGAACAAGCCUUUUUAUGUGGUUGCAGAAAGUUUCAAGUUUGUACGGCUCUUCCCGCUAAACCAGCAAGAUGUCCCAGAUAAGUUUAAGUAUAAGGCAGAUACCCUGAAGUCUCUGCAGACCGAACAGGAUCUCAAAGAGGAGCACCCGUGGGUGGACUACACGCCUCCUUCCUUGAUAACGCUGCUCUUUACAGACCUGGGGGUGUUGACACCCUCAGCGGUCAGCGACGAGCUCAUCAAGUUGUAUCUGUGACCGCUGGACCCUUCCCUGCUGGCGCAGCUGAGGCACUUGGGGCGGGGUGAGUAGCAGACUAAAGACCUAAAACUUCAAGAAUUGUUUAUUCAUUUCAGCCCCAUCUAAAAUGUGUUCAUAGUUCCCGUAAAACCCAACCUGAAUUGCGCUCGUGGUUUCCAGGCACUUUCCAGAAACACAAAUUAGAUUACUGGCUACUUAUCCAGUGAAAGACCUGCCCAAGCCCACCUCCCUUCUUCCCUGCACUCCAGACUGAUUUGCUACAAGCAUCAAAGAGAUGCAGGCCUUCCUGUGCAGCCAGGCGCCCCUUCAGGAACUAACAGCUGCCCGGGACACACAUGACGUACGGCGCCUCGUGAGAAAGGCUAGAAACCGUGUUCGGUUCCCAUCAGGCUUCCAGCGGUGAACACGAGCCAGGGACUGCCAUCCCCUCGUCGGUCUGGGGGCAGACAGAAUGGAAACCAGCAAGAGAACCCGAGGAAGGCAGAAACGGCAUUUAGCAGGAGCAUCCUAUGUGGCUCAUCACGUAUGAAGACCUUCCAGAACGUUUAUAAGCUGAAAUUCUGCAUCUGUGAAAGAUGUGGAUCUCCUUUAGAUGUUGUUUGUGCCUGAACAGCUUUUUAAAAUUGUACUUGGGGACAAAUCGAGCACCUUUUCAAAUAAAUUCUAUGAAGGGUUUUGA